rnacentral:rRNA from 1 species
UACGUAGGGGGCAAGCGUUGUCCGGAUUUAUUGGGCGUAAAGAGCGUGUAGGCGGCCAUACAGGUCAGCUGUGAAAACUCGAGGCUCAACCUCGAGACGUCGGUUGAAACCGUAUGGCUAGAGUCCGGAAGAGGAGAGUGGAAUUCCCGGUGUAGCGGUGAAAUGCGCAGAUAUCGGGAAGAACACCCGCGGCGAAGGCGGCUCUCUGGGACGGUACUGACGCUGAGACGCGAAAGCGUGGGGAGCGAACAGG